rnacentral:rRNA from 1 species
UGGGGAAUUUUGGACAAUGGGCGAAAGCCUGAUCCAGCCAUGCCGCGUGAGUGAAGAAGGCCUUCGGGUUGUAAAGCUCUUUUAGUCGGAAAGAAAGAGUUGCAAUGAAUAAUUGUGAUUUAUGACGGUACCGACAGAAAAAGCACCGGCUAACUACGUGCCAGCAGCCGCGGUAAUACGUAGGGUGCGAGCGUUAAUCGGAAUUACUGGGCGUAAAGGGUGCGCAGGCGGUCUUGCAAGUCAGAUGUGAAAGCCCCGGGCUUAACCUGGGAAUUGCGUUUGAAACUACAAGGCUAGAGUGCAGCAGAGGGGAGUGGAAUUCCAUGUGUAGCAGUGAAAUGCGUAGAGAUGUGGAAGCACACCGAUGGCGAAGGCAGCUCCCUGGGUUGACACUGACGCUCAUGCACGAAAGCGUGGGGAGCAAACA